rnacentral:rRNA from 1 species
AAUAUUGGACAAUGGGUGCAAGCCUGAUCCAGCCAUCCCGCGUGAAGGAUUAAGGNCCNNUGGAUNGNAAACUUCUUUUAUACNNNNNUAAACCUCUCCUCGUGAGGAGAGCUGAAGGUACUGUAUGAAUAAGCACCGGCUAACUCCGUGCCAGCAGCCGCGGUAAUACGGAGGGUGCAAGCGUUAUCCGGAUUUAUUGGGUUUAAAGGGUCCGUAGGCGGGCCGAUAAGUCAGUGGUGAAAUCUCGCAGCUUAACUGUGAAACUGCCAUUGAUACUGUUGGUCUUGAGUAAAUUUGAAGUGGCUGGAAUAAGUAGUGUAGCGGUGAAAUGCAUAGAUAUUACUUAGAACACCAAUUGCGAAGGCAGGUCACUAAGAUUUAACUGACGCUGAUGGACGAAAGCGUGGGUAGCGAACAGA